GGCUAACUCUGUGCCAGCAGCCGCGGUAAUACAGAGGGUGCAAGCGUUAAUCGGAAUUACUGGGCGUAAAGCGCACGUAGGCGGUUUUUUAAGUCAGAUGUGAAAGCCCCGGGCUCAACCUGGGAAUUGCAUUUGAAACUGGGGAACUAGAGUGUGUGAGAGGGGGGUAGAAUUCCAAGUGUAGCGGUGAAAUGCGUAGAGAUUUGGAGGAAUACCAGUGGCGAAGGCGGCCCCCUGGCACAACACUGACGCUCAGGUGCGAAAGCGUGGGGAGCAAACAGGAUUAGAUACCCUGGUAGUCCACGCCGUAAACGAUGUCUACUAGCUGUUCGUGUCCUUGUGAUGUGAGUAGCGCAGCUAACGCACUAAGUAGACCGCCUGGGGAGUACGGUCGCAAGAUUAAAACUCAAAUGAAUUGACGGGGGCCCGCACAAGCGGUGGAGCAUGUGGUUUAAUUCGACGCAACGCGAAGAACCUUACCUACUCUUGACAUCUACGGAAGACUGCAGAGAUGCGGUUGUGCCUUCGGGAACCGUAAGACAGGUGCUGCAUGGCUGUCGUCAGCUCGUGUUGUGAAAUGUUGGGUUAAGUCCCGCAACGAGCGCAACCCCUAUCCUUAGUUGCCAGCGAGUUAAGUCGGGAACUCUAGGGAGACUGCCGGUGAUAAACCGGAGGAAGGUGGGGACGACGUCAAGUCAUCAUGGCCCUUACGAGUAGGGCUACACACGUGCUACAAUGGUACGUACAGAGGGAGGCAAGCUGGCGACAGUGAGCGGAUCUCUUAAAGCGUAUCGUAGUCCGGAUCGCAGUCUGCAACUCGACUGCGUGAAGUCGGAAUCGCUAGUAAUCGCAAAUCAGAAUGUUGCGGUGAAUACGUUCCCGGGCCUUGUACACACCGCCCGUCACACCAUGGGAGUGGGUUGCAAAAGAAGUAGGUAGCUUAACCUUCGGGAGGGCGCUUACCACUUUGUGAUUCAUGACUGGGGUGAAGUCGUAACAAGGUAACCCUAGGGGAACCUGGGGUUGGAUCACCUCCUUACCUAAAGCAG
rnacentral:rRNA from 1 species